rnacentral:tRNA from 1 species
GUCGGAAUGGGGGAAUUGGUAGACCCGGCAGGCUCAAACCCUGCUGCUUUAAAAAGCGUGAGAGUUCGAAUCUCUCUUCCGAUA